AGUUGCCAGCAGUUCGGCUGGGCACUCUAAAGGGACGUGCCGGUGUUAAACCGGAGGAAGGUGGGGAUGACGUCAAGUCCUCAUGGCCUUUAUGACCAGGGCUACACACGUACUACAAUGGCCGAUACAAAGGGCAGCGACACUGCGAGGUGAAGCCAAUCCCGUAAAAUCGGUCUCAGUCCGGAUUGGAGUCUGCAACUCGACUCCAUGAAGUUGGAAUCGCUAGUAAUCGUGGAUCAGCAUGCCGCGGUGAAUACGUUCCCGGGCCUU
rnacentral:rRNA from 1 species